GCGGCCGUAGUAUAGUGGUAGUACGGAACCUUGCCAAGGUUCAGGUGUGGGUUCGAUUCCCAUCGGCCGCUCCA
rnacentral:tRNA from 1 species